UACGAAGGGGGCUAGCGUUGUUCGGAAUUACUGGGCGUGAAGCGCACGUAGGCGGAUAUUUAAGUCAGGGGUGAAAUCCCGGGGCUCAACCCCGGAACUGCCUUUGAUACUGGGUAUCUCGAGUCCGAGAGAGGUGAGUGGAAUUCCGAGUGUAGAGGUGAAAUUCGUAGAUAUUCGGAGGAACACCAGUGGCGAAGGCGGCUCACUGGCUCGGUACUGACGCUGAGGUGCGAAAGCGUGGGGAGCAAACAGG
rnacentral:rRNA from 1 species